rnacentral:lncRNA from 1 species
UAACCGGUUUAAGAACAAUCGAGCUUUUUAGGUAUUUGGUUUAUUAUAAUCGGAAACCGUACAAAGUAAUAACCAAUCGCUUAAAACGGUUUUCCCAAACCGAACCGGAUUGCACAAAUUCGAUUCGAUCCUCCUCUUCUCCAACGGCAUCCUCUUCUCUCGUCACGACAAGGAUUUGUCGAAAAUGUCGCAUUUGUUCUCCACUCUCUGUGAUUCUUUGAUUACGUUGAUCUUCUUAGCUCUUGGCCACUCCUAGCUGAUUUUGGUGAGGAAAAUGGUUGAUUUAGAGAGUCACAAAUGUCAGCGUUUUUGGUUUGUGGCUUCAUGAUUCAAUUCCAUUUCUGUAUUAUUUUCUUAAAUGUUUGAUCUUUUCCAUCUUUAUAACAUCACAGUAGCAUCUUUAUGUAGUUACAAGAACACAGAGUAAGAAGAGUGGUUCUUUUACAACAUUCUGGAAGCUUAAUUUGAGUGAAAUCUAAACAAGAAACUUACAGAAAAAAAAAAUAUAUAUAUAUAUGUUGUAGAGGAAAGAAUGUAGUAGGUUAACUAAUAACUGUUGUGCUUGUGGUGUGGCACUUUUCGUAUUUAUCACUGAAACCGAGAUAAGUCGUAUUUCAGAACAUGACUUGCUACGAUGGCGUUUGUCUUCUCUGUUGGGUGAAAUGAGUCCCAAAAUACAUAUUUGCUUGCAUCAGAACAUGUGAAUGGGUUCAUUUUAUCACACAAGUAGCUCAUCUCAUAGUACCCCGUUCCGCAACACGCACUCCUUACAUUUUGGAAACCUGCAAUGCAAUUAGGAAUAUCAUCAGAAGCAUUCUUCAUUUAAGAGCACUUGGUACGUAUUGAAACUUAGCCCUUUGUCUUUGUAGGGUUGCAAUGGCUGGGAAAAGCUUCUUGUUAGAACUUUGUACUAACCGAAUGCUUCAGGAUGGUAUAUGAUUUCUGAAACCAGGUCAUACGGAUUUGAAAACACAAGCUGGAUUCCGUCCAGUUCUCUGUUCAACUGGUAGACUUUCAUUUCCAUUUUGGUGUUGAAAUCUCUAGCCACAAUGUUGUAUUCUUCGAUACAUUUGCUUCCAUAAAAGAGCUGAGUUGUUCUUUCCAGGGGCAAGCAUCCAAAAGGAGAGAGUCCCGACCAAGACAUCUUUCGAGCUCCGAGUCUGUAAAUAUCUGUCACGAAAUCUGCUGCGAUUCCUAUCAGGAAAUUUUGGUACUCAUUCACAGCGUACUUCCGUAACUUACGAGGAAGAAGAUAGUAAUUCUCCAGGAAAUCGUUGGUUCCGAUACUAAUCAGGUAAAGGGCUUCACUAAUAAUCUCAUUAGCAUUCUCUUCACCCAAGUAGCUUCUUAGCCUGAUCUGGUAUUCUUUGUAGUACUCUACUUCCUUCCAAAGCGGCAUCACAGACUUUAGAAGUCGAUGGCAUUUCAAAAAAACCAAGCCAUUAUUAGCUUAACUAGGAGUAUGAAAUCUAAAUCCACUGCAAUAGAAUAUAUAUGUUAUGUUGUAAGAUAUAUAACUAUGCUUGACUUACUAACACAGCAGAGGUUGCAUUGUCUAAGCCGGUUCCAGCUGAAGCGAAACAGACACCAGUGGCAAAGUCUGCAAUGUUGUAUGCUGGAUCUAGAUAGGCAGGG